AGGACGAACGCUGGCGGCGUGCCUAACACAUGCAAGUGGAGCGACGAACCAGGGCUUGCCCUGGGGCAGAGCCGCGAACGGGUGAGUAACACGUGGGUUACCUGCCUCGAUGACCGGGACAACCCGAGGAAACUCGGGCUAAUACCGGAUGUGCCCGCAAGGGGAAAGGAAGCUUCGGCCUCCGCAUCGAGAUGGGCCCGCGGCCCAUUAGCUUGUUGGUGAGGUAACGGCUCACCAAGGCUUCGAUGGGUAGCUGGUCUGAGAGGACGAUCAGCCACACUGGGACUGAGACACGGCCCAGACUCCUACGGGAGGCAGCAGUGGGGAAUCUUGCGCAAUGCGCGAAAGCGUGACGCAGCAACGCCGCGUGGGGGAAGAAGGCUUUCGGGUUGUAAACCCCUUUCAGUUGGGACGAAGCUUCUCCGGUGAAUAGCCGGACGGAGUGACGGUACCUUCACAAGAAGCACCGGCUAACUACGUGCCAGCAGCCGCGGU
rnacentral:rRNA from 1 species